UGGGGAAUAUUGCACAAUGGGCGAAAGCCUGAUGCAGCAACGCCGCGUGAGUGAUGAAGGCCUUCGGGUCGUAAAGCUCUUUGAUCAGGGAUGAUAAUGACAGUACCUGAAAAACAAGCCACGGCUAACUACGUGCCAGCAGCCGCGGUAAUACGUAGGUGGCGAGCGUUGUCCGGAAUUAUUGGGCGUAAAGGAUGCGUAGGUGGAUAUUUAAGUGGGAUGUGAAAUCCCCGGGCUCAACCCGGGAACUGCAUUCCAUACUGGAUGUCUAGAGUGCAGGAGAGGAAAGCGGAAUUCCUAGUGUAGCGGUGAAAUGCGUAGAUAUUAGGAGGAACACCAGUGGCGAAGGCGGCUUUCUGGACUGUAACUGACACUGAGGCAUGAAAGCGUGGGUAGCAAACAGG
rnacentral:rRNA from 2 species